rnacentral:rRNA from 1 species
AGGUUCGAUCCUGGCUCAGGAUGAACGCUAGCUACAGGCUUAACACAUGCAAGUCGAGGGGCAGCAUUGGCGUGGCUUGCCACGCCAGAUGGCGACCGGCGCACGGGUGAGUAACGCGUAUCCAACCUGCCCGCAACCGCGGAAUAGCCCGCCGAAAGGCGGAUUAAUGCCGCAUGAGCCCGCGAGACGGCAUCUUAGCGCGGGCAAAGGUUUUUUCCGGUUGUGGAUGGGGAUGCGUCCGAUUAGGCAGCAGGCGGGGCAACGGCCCACCUGGCCAUCGAUCGGUAGGGGUUCUGAGAGGAAGGUCCCCCACAUUGGAACUGAGACACGGUCCAAACUCCUACGGGAGGCAGCAGUGAGGAAUAUUGGUCAAUGGGCGGAAGCCUGAACCAGCCAAGUAGCCGUGUGGGAUGACGGCCCUACGGGUUGUAAACCACUUUUGCGCGGGGAUAACCGGCGGCACGCGUGCCGCCCUGCAGGUACCGCGCGAAUAAGGACCGGCUAAUUCCGUGCCAGCCGCUGC